CUACGGGUUGUAGCAGUCGAGAAUAGUCUACAAUGGACGAAAGUCUGAUAGUGCGACGCCGCGUGGAUGAAGAAGCAUUUCGGUGUGUAAAGUCCUUUUCUGUGUGAGCAAUGUUUUCCAGGUUAAUAGCUUGGAGAAAGCGAUAUUAACACAGGAAUAAGCUCCGGCUAACUCCGUGCCAGCAGCCGCGGUAACACGGGGGGAGCAAGCGUUGUCCGGAAUUACUAGGCGUAAAGGGUAAGUAGGCGGAAUUGUAAGUCAGAUGUUAAAGGCACCGGCUCAACCGGUGUAUGGCAUUUGAUACUGUAAUUCUAGAGUAAGGUGGGGGAAGACGGAAUUCCUGGUGUAGCGGUGGAAUGCGCAGAUAUCAGGAGGAACACCAGAGGCGCAGGCGGUCUUCUAUACCAUUACUGACGCUCAAUUACGAAGGUGUGGGUAUCAAACAGGAUUAGAUACCCGCGUAGUC
rnacentral:rRNA from 1 species